GACGAACGCUGGCGGCGUGCUUAACACAUGCAAGUCGAACGGAAAGGCCCUGCUUUUUUGGGGUGCUCGAGUGGCGAACGGGUGAGUAACACGUGAGUAACCUGCCCUUCACUUUGGGAUAACUUCAGGUAACUGGGGCUACUCCCGGAUCGGAGCUCCCGCUCCAUGGUGGGGGUUGGAAAUUUUCGGCGGUUGGGGUUGGACUCGCGGAUUAUCAGCUUGUUGGUUGGGUAGUGGCUUACCAAGGGUUUGACGGGUAGCCGGCAUGAGAGGGUGACCGGCCACAAUGGGACUAAGAUACGGCCCAGACUCCAACGGUAGGCAGCAGUGGGGAGUAUGGCACAAUGGGCGGAAGCCGGAUACAGCAACGCCGCGGGCGGGAUGACGGCCUGCGGGGUAAAAAACGCAUUCGGCUGUGACGAAGCGGGAGUGACGGUAAUGAGUAAAGAAGCACCGGCUAACUACGUG
rnacentral:rRNA from 1 species